ACUUGAUGGUGGGGGCAUUUACACAAGAGGUCCCUAAAAUGCUCCCAUGUCUCGAAAAAUUGCUCACCACCUAUAUAUUAGAAACUGGCAAUAGCCUUCCUAAGCU